rnacentral:tRNA from 1 species
GGCUAGGUAGCUCAGUUGGUAGAGCAACGGACUGAAAAUCCGUGUGUCGGCGGUUCGAUCCCGCCCCUCGCCA